rnacentral:rRNA from 1 species
GAAAGUUAAGGGUUCGAAGACGAUCAGAUACCGUCGUAGUCUUAACUAUAAAUGAUACAGACCAGAGAUAGGACACUGUCCAUCUCGACUCCUCCUGAAUCUUGGAGAAAUCAGAGUCUUUGGGUUCUGGGGGGAGUAUGGUCGCAAGGCUGAAACUUAAAGGAAUUGACGGAAGGGCACACAAAGAGUGGAACCUGCGGCUUAAUUUGACUCAACACGGGAAAACUCACCAGGUCCAGAUACACGUAUGAAAGUCAAGCUGAAAGACUUUACUCAAUGAUGUAAGUGGUGGUGCAUGGUCGUUCGUAGUUCGUGGAUUGAUUUGUCUGGUCUAUUCCGAUAACGAGCGAGACCCCAACGUUCCUAAUAGGGGUGACAGCCCGGCUCGUCGCAAGAUGGGUUAGCAGUCGCCUAAGAUUAGCUUCUUAGACGUAUCAGGGCCGAUAAGGUCCUUGAAAUGGGUUAAUAACAGGUCAGUCAUGCCCUUAGAUGUUCUGGGCCGCACGCGCGUUACAAUGGCAUGUAAAAAAAGUGCUGCAAAAGGUGUCCCCGGGGCUGAAAAGUCCUGGUAACCCUUAGUCCCUGCCUUGACUGGGACAGAUCAUUGCAAUUAUUGGUCUCAAACGAGGAAUUUUUAGUAAUCGCAGGUCAUUAACCUGCGAUGAAUGCGUCCCUGCCCUUUGUACACACCGCC